AGAUUUAUCGGAACUGACAAUAACAGAAACGCUAUUUUUCCAAGUAGACGCAGUAUUAUGAAAGAUAAGAGAAAGAGAAGUAUAAGCCUCGAUGGCUGCAGAGCUUUGGCAAACACUUUUAAACCAGUUUUUGCGUAUACUUUUGCUUGUGAACCAGCCUUCAAAUAUUCCUUCCAAUUUGAUGGGAGGAGCUCCGUGUUAAAGCAGAGAGGCUUGAGCCCCACGGCGUACUUCCACAUCGAUGGCAGUAAAUGGAUGUCAUUGGUCCUUUUCAUGUGAAUUCAGAAGUUUUUGGAAUAAGACCAUUGUCAUAAGACUAGUUGGUGCUUUCCCGCACAAGAUGGCAAAGUAUUUUGUGACUGUCAAGAGGAGCUUCUUUGAGGAAGAUGAGAGAUGUGCAAAGGCACAUAUCGAGCACUUGUCCUCACUUUGCCUGGCCAAUGACCAAAUAAAUGGUUGACUACAGUAUCUGAAGAUUUUUUAAGGAGUUGAAUGUCAUACAGACUUCUGCCUAUGGCUGCUAAAUCAAAGCUUUACAGUUUUAUGUGAAGAAUUAAAAAAAAUAUAUAGGAGUAUGUAAAGACAUGUUGUAACUGUAAAUGGAAGUAACUUUUCUCUAUUUUCAUCUAGAUUGAAAAAUGUUUCCAUAAAUGUAUAUACUGAGUAGUCAAAAAAGUUUCAAAUGUAAACUGUACAUCUAAAAGUUUAAGGCCAUGUGAUUAAAAUCAUUUUAAUCCUAAAAUUGUGAAAAGAAUGUGUCCAUUGUACAUAAAAAUAAGGCUGUCAUUUUCAAUAGUUAUCUAAGGAAUAACUGUCAAGUUAGAAGAGUAUACCAGGGCAUCAACGAUAGUUGAAAUUGCAGGAUAAUUUGCAUAACAAUUGUAGCUAACUAACUAGACAGUGAUUCCUUAUAUUUCCUUUUCAUUGUGAAAUAAAAUUGUAAAUUUAGAUUUUAAAAAUAUAAACAAAUAGAAUCAAAUUACAGGAGGCCACCCGUGUCAAUUUCAAUAGUCCCCACCCAUUGAGGUCAAGCACAAAGACAGCCGCACAAGAUUUACAUGCAUAUUGGAUCUCCUUAGAAUCAGACACAAAGGCAGAUGCACAAGAUGGAAAUAUUUAAAUGUUAAUACAAGCCUAAGGUACCUUAUGAUUGUUGUUUUACAUAUAUACAAGUAUCAUUUUGCAAUGCUUGAUACAGAAUUUGGAUUUAUAUGCAUUUACUAUCUAUGUCAAUUCAACAAAAAAUAUUUUCAUGUUCUAAAAAGAUAUGAGUUGAAUUGAAUAUUUUCUGUUACACACAUGUAUGUUGAUGUAGCUUGUAAAUGAAACACUUCUAGCAUGUGUUUGUUUCCUUGUCUUUUCUGUAAGUACUAAGAAAAAAAAUGUUUUUGAACUAUAAUUACAUUCCACUUAUUAAAUUAAGCUCAGUAAAUAGAAUUUUUAUAUCUAUCAUAAGCCAUAAAAUAUUUAAAAACAUGUAUUUCAAAUUCUUCUGCAUUCUACACAGGGAAUCUUCAGUUGAAAAUGUAUCCCACCUUCUUUAAUAUUAAAUAAAAAAAAAAACCAUUAAUUCCAUUGAGAAAAAAUAGAUUGCAAUGGUAAUCUAAUUUUUUGGUUUGGUAUUAUUUUUGUCUAUGCCUUCCAUCUUUUAAAUUCUAAAUUGACAGAUCACCAGAGAAAUGUGUAAGAUAUCAUGUACCAGAAAUUAAAUGUUUUAUGAUCUAUGAAGUAUACAAUAUAUUUGGCAAUGCAUGUUUUUUUUUUAAAUUUAUUUUAGUAAACAAUUUAUUUCCCCUUCAGAAGCAGACUGUUAGAUAAAAAUUGCAUUUUUUACAUUUGAUAUCCAGGUAUUACUAAUUUUACAAACUGCAUGCAAACAAUAUUUUGACUUUGAUUAACUUUAAUUUUAAGGUACUCUCUAUACCAUUGGGGUGGGUAUUACCUAUACAUUGCUUCUUUUUCACAAGUCGCAAGAUAAACAAAACAGCGCCAAAGCAUUUUAAUUUUCUAAAGUGUU